rnacentral:rRNA from 6 species
AAACUUUCAACAACGGAUCUCUUGGUUCUGGCAUCGAUGAAGAACGCAGCAAAAUGCGAUAAGUAAUGUGAAUUGCAGAAUUCAGUGAAUCAUCGAAUCUUUGAACGCACAUUGCGCCCGCCAGUAUUCUGGCGGGCAUGCCUGUUCGAGCGUCAU